AACGAACGCUGGCGGCAUGCCUAACACAUGCAAGUCGAACGAGAUCUUCGGGUCUAGUGGCGCACGGGUGCGUAACGCGUGGGAAUCUGCCCUUUGGUUCGGAAUAACAGUUGGAAACGACUGCUAAUACCGGAUGAUGACGAAAGUCCAAAGAUUUAUCGCCAGAGGAUGAGCCCGCGUAGGAUUAGCUAGUUGGUGUGGUAAAGGCGCACUAAGGCGACGAUCCUUAGCUGGUCUGAGAGGAUGAUCAGCCACACUGGGACUGAGACACGGCCCAGACUCCUACGGGAGGCAGCAGUGGGGAAUAUUGGACAAUGGGCGAAAGCCUGAUCCAGCAAUGCCGCGUGAGUGAUGAAGGCCUUAGGGUUGUAAAGCUCUUUUACCCGGGAUGAUAUUGACAGUACCGGGAGAAUAAGCUCCGGCUAACUCCGUGCCAGCAGCCGCCGUAA
rnacentral:rRNA from 1 species